GUCGUGUUCAAAUUAGCAGGAACGAAAAUCAUGAACCUGUGGAUUUAUCUGCGACCUUUCUAAAAGUGCGACCACAUGAGGAACAUUAUGACUCACUUAUCCAGAUGAAAGUGAGGAAUCAUGGAUUCUUCUCCUCUGGGAAUCUUCAGCCCUUUGAAAAGAAAAGAGAGGUUAAAAAUUUGUUAAAUGAGUUAACAGCAGCCGGGAUCUUUCUCCGUCACAGCUCACCUGUACGCCAGCCGCAGCACGAACAGUUCGAGGAAGGCGGAUUCGAAGAGGAGAUCUUGAUCUUGCUUCGGUAAAUCAGAGAAGCCAGGGAUCUUCUCCGCCCAGCCCCGGAUGAUCUCCAU